rnacentral:rRNA from 2 species
AUGGAGCCAUCCGCCUAGGGUGGGACAGAUGAUUGGGGUGAAGUCGUAGCAAAGUAACCGAUGGAAUUCCAAGUGUAGCGGUGAAAUGCGUAGAGAUUUGGAGGAACACCAGUGGCGAAGGCGACUUUCUGGUCUGUAACUGACACUGAGGCGCGAAAGCGUGGGGAGCAAACAGGAUUAGAUACCCUGGUAGUCCACGCCGUAAACGAUGAGUGCUAAGUGUUAGAGGGUUUCCGCCCUUUAGUGCUGCAGCUAACGCAUUAAGCACUCCGCCUGGGGAGUACGGCCGCAAGGCUGAAACUCAAAGGAAUUGACGGGGGCCCGCACAAGCGGUGGAGCAUGUGGUUUAAUUCGAAGCAACGCGAAGAACCUUACCAGGUCUUGACAUCCUCUGACAACCCUAGAGAUAGGGCUUUCCCCUUCGGGGGACAGAGUGACAGGUGGUGCAUGGUUGUCGUCAGCUCGUGUCGUGAGAUGUUGGGUUAAGUCCCGCAACGAGCGCAACCCUUGAUCUUAGUUGCCAGCAUUCAGUUGGGCACUCUAAGGUGACUGCCGGUGACAAACCGGAGGAAGGUGGGGAUGACGUCAAAUCAUCAUGCCCCUUAUGACCUGGGCUACACACGUGCUACAAUGGAUGGUACAAAGGGCUGCAAACCUGCGAAGGUAAGCGAAUCCCAUAAAGCCAUUCUCAGUUCGGAUUGCAGGCUGCAACUCGCCUGCAUGAAGCCGGAAUCGCUAGUAAUCGCGGAUCAGCAUGCCGGGUGAAUACGUUCCCGGGCCUUGUACACACCGCCCGUCACACCACGAGAGUU